rnacentral:rRNA from 1 species
UACGUAGGGUGCGAGCGUUGUCCGGAAUUAUUGGGCGUAAAGAGCUUGUAGGCGGUUUGUCGCGUCUGCUGUGAAAAUCCGGGGCUCAACCCCGGACUUGCAGUGGGUACGGGCAGGCUAGAGUGUGGUAGGGGAGACUGGAAUUCCUGGUGUAGCGGUGAAAUGCGCAGAUAUCAGGAGGAACACCGAUGGCGAAGGCAGGUCUCUGGGCAACAACUGACGCUGAGGAGCGAAAGCGUGGGGAGCGAACAGG